rnacentral:misc_RNA from 1 species
AACAACACCAACAUCGAAAUAAAUGACGCCGGAGCUAGGAACAUCAACACGAAUACCCUUAACAGGAAACCACAAGAACAGAUCCUGCGCUGAAAUCCCAGAUAAGGCGCCGAUCUUACCAUAACUCAAAAUUCCCGAAACAUUAGUCUCGUAAUGUAGUUGAUUCUCGAACAUCGCAUUACACUCCCGAUCCAAAAACACGAGAAAUCGCCCAGUGUCGACAUCGAAUUCGUAAUCCCUAACACCCUUUGGGAGUAAGCCUUUGGGGAGGCCAUGAGCCAAUAGCACAUCGUAAAUCGAGUUGGAAGUUGUGUGGUAGUUGAGAGAAUGAGGAUCCGCCAUUGAAGAAGUGACGUAGAGAAAGGAGAACCAGAGGAAGAGCAUGGAAGAAGGGGGAAACAUGGUGAGGAGUUGAGUGAAGGAAGAAAGAGGAAAUAUGAGUGGGAAAUGGAGAAAUGGAAGCAAGGAGUUGAAGAAGUAGGGUUUUAGAUUAGCAAUGGGGGAUUGACAGCAAGAGUACAGAGAAGAGGAGGAGGAGGAAGAAG